UACAGAGGGGGCAAGCGUUGUUCGGAAUUACUGGGCGUAAAGCGUGCGCAGGCGGUUUCGUAAGUCUGUCGUGAAAUCCCCGGGCUUAACCUGGGAAUGGCGAUGGAGACUGCGAGGCUAGAGUUUGGCAGAGGGGGGUAGAAUUCCACGUGUAGCAGUGAAAUGCGUAGAGAUGUGGAGGAACACCGAUGGCGAAGGCAGCCCCCUGGGUCAAAACUGACGCUCAUGCACGAAAGCGUGGGGAGCAAACAGG
rnacentral:rRNA from 1 species